AUGCCGGGCGGAAACAGGAUAUGGGGUGCUGGGGCAUGUCUACAAUUGUAUCACUUUCCUAUGAAAUCCGUCAAUUUGAAUUCAUAAACACUUUUGAAAAGUAGUUAUAUGAUAAAAGUAAGACAUUUCAGCGCAAUAAGUGCUUGGUCGGUAAAAAGGUGGGAUUCUUCUAUGGUAACCAUUGGGUCAACGUGUGUUAAAAUGAAUCAGUUUCUGACGUAUACGCUUGUCAUCACUUAUUAGUAGCCUUUUAUUAUUUAUUUAAUGUAAUUAUUUGUAAGUUAUUUAUUUAGUUCUGUUUAUUAAUUUAUGCAUCUAUUUUUUCUUUUUUACAUAAUAAUGAGAUAUGGAAAAUAUAGACCAAGAGUAGAGCACUGAAUGAUAUAGACAAAAUAGGGAUAUAGUCCCUAUUUUGACCAAAUGUUCACAUUUACAAGUACACUUACACAUCGUUUAGCGAAUCACCUAGGCCAUCCUCUGAAUAAAUAUACGCCUAAUUUUAACGUUAAAUAUGAACAACUAAAGUACAUUAAAUGUGUGCAGAGGCUGUGAAGUAGGCAAAUGGACACUAUUCGUUUCCAUAAUUUGCUUAUUUUAAUUGUUUCGUUAUAGCCUACGUUGCUGAACGUUAGAGAGGGCGGAGCUAACACAUCGUUGAUUCAAGAAUGCCCAUUUUCUGCGAUUCGUUUCAAAAGAUUCGUUGUAGAAGGCAUAUAUCAUCAAGUGACUGUAGUAGCCAGUAUGUCCCGGGUAUGAAAUGAAAUCAAAAGUGGCCUACAGCGACCCAAGUUUGCUAUUCAUCUUCAAUAAAAGAGAAUGUAUGGAUAUAUCUUCUUUGGAUUCAGCUGUCUCUAUACUUAAUUUAAAAAAGUCUGACGAAGGUCUAUAUGGAUGCAAAGUUAAAUGGAAAGGGGGUGGCAGUUCUCAGGGGAAUCUGCAAUCCCUGAUCCUCACAGCCGCCGAGAGGAGCGAGUGGCACAGGGCGCUGGUCCUUGUGU